UACGGAGGGGGCUAGCGUUGUUCGGAAUCAUUGGGCGUAAAGGGCGCGUAGGCGGCCGAUCAAGUCGGAGGUGAGAUCCCUCGGCUCAACUGAGGAAUUGCCUUCGAUACUGUUCGGCUUGAGUCCUGGAGAGGGUAGCGGAAUUCCCGGUGUAGCGGUGAAAUGCGUAGAUAUCUGGAGGAACACCGGUGGCGAAGGCGGCAUCCUGGACCGGCAUUGACGCUGAGGCGCGAAAGCCAGGGGAGCAAACGGG
rnacentral:rRNA from 1 species